AUGCAGGCCUCCAUGCUGGGACGAGGAGGAGAAGAAGGGGGGCACGUCGGAGGUGCCGGUCGAGCGCACCAUCGAGGAGGCGUUGAUGACGGCAACACGGGCGAGGCCGGGGAGGAGAUCAUGGUUGAUGCUUUACCGCCUGAAGUUGUUGACCUGGAACAAGAGGGUAAGGUGGAUGUGAGAGCAGAAGCGCACGCCGUGGUGCAGGAUGUCGUGGUGUCUGAAGCACCUGAGGUGCCGGAACCAGAGGUGAAGAGCGAGGAGGUGGUGGUCCGGGACACAACCAUGGUGCAUCCCGCGCAUCAACCAGAGACGAAGGCCGAUGAGGUGCUGGUCAGGGAUACAGACACGGAUGUUGUGGUGCAGGAACCGGAAGCAAAGGGUGAGGUGUCACGGUCUCAUGAGGCAGCUGGUGCGCAAACUACAGAGGCGGGCUAA
rnacentral:rRNA from 1 species